CCUCUUGUUCGGGAUAACUGCUGGAAACGGCAGCUAAUACCGGAUAAGCUCCCCCAAUUGUAUGGGGAGGAAAGGAGGCCUCUUCAUGAAAGCUUCCGCGAGGGGAUGAGUCCGCGUCCCAUUAGCUAGUUGGUGAGGUAACGGCCCACCAAGGCAACGAUGGGUAGCCGGUCUAAGAGGAUGACCGGCCACACUGGAACUGAAACACGGUCCAGACUCCUACGGGAGGCAGCAGUGGGGAAUAUUGCGCAAUGGACGAAAGUCUGACGCAGCGACGCCGCGUGAGGGAUGAAGGUUUUCGGAUCGUAAACCUCUGUCAGGAGGGAAGAAAGCGCAUGGCGCCAAUCAGCCAUGCGUUGACGGUACCUCCAAAGGAAGCGCCGGCUAACUCCGUGCCAGCAGCCGCGGUAAUACGGAGGGCGCGAGCGUUAAUCGGAAUUACUGGGCGUAAAGCGCGCGUAGGCUGUUGUGUAAGUUGGGGGUGAAAUCCCACGGCUCAACCGUGGAACAGCCCUUGAUACUGCGCGACUUGAAUCCGGGAGAGGGUGGCGGAAUUCCAGGUGUAGGAGUGAAAUCCGUAGAUAUCUGGAGGAACAUCAGUGGCGAAGGCGGCCACCUGGACCGGUAUUGACGCUGAGGCGCGAAAGCGUGGGGAGCAAACAGGAUUAGAUACCCUGGUAGUCCACGCUGUAAACGAUGGAUGCUGGAUGUCGGGGAGUAAUCCCCGG
rnacentral:rRNA from 1 species